UGGUGUGGAAACUUAGAGGUUCUCAAUUUUGGGAACUUGGAGAAUCUAUUCUUCCAUCCAAAUCCAUGGAUUUAAGAAGCAAGGAAUGAAGGCCCUCUCUUUGGGUGAUUAGCCUUUGCUUAUGCAAAGAGAAAUCUACAAAGGUAUAAAUCUCAACUCACUUUGUUUUGAGUUGAGUCUUGGUUCACCAAUCUACUAGGCUUUGAAUUUCAUGGUUGAUGUUUUGUUU
rnacentral:lncRNA from 1 species